AGCCCUGUGGCUGCUGGGGUAGUCCAGCCCUGGCCGUCCUUCUCAGAAGUCAGCCUGUCUCCCAGCCAGACCCUUUCAGCUCCCUCUGCCUGAGGACUGUAACUUCCUUGUUACAUCAUGCUCACUGUUAAGUCACAAUUGGGCUGAAAGCAGAGCCUGGCCAAGCCGCCAGGCACUCAGGGGCAGCCUGCCUGCUCAAUCCAGGUGGCUUCACAUGGCCACAGGUGCACAAUGAAGUACCCUCUGGUGCCGCUGGUGAACGACCUCACGCUCUCUUUCCUGGUGUUCUGGCUCUGCCUGCCCGUGGCUUUGCUGCUGUUCCUGAUGAUCCUCUGGUUACGAUUCUUACUCAGUCAAGAGUCGAAGGAAGAUUAUUCAGAUUUAUGUUUCAACUGGGAGCCCUGGAGCAAAAGACCUUCUGAGUCUGGCCAUGAGGAGACAUUCUGUGACUAUGAGGACAGGCACUACUGGUGAGCCUGUUCUACCUGCUUAUCAUGGCUGGCUCCUACAGUCUGAAGAUUCGGUAGAGCUAAGAACUAGUGACUGGCUGCUCUGCUUCUCUGAUCUUCAGGUAUCAUCUGGGCCCAAGUGGAUGGUAGAAAGAGAACACUGGAGACCAAGGAGCCUUCCUGGGACCUCCAGUGGUCAGACCUACCAAGCCUGUUGCCGAAUCAUCCGUCCUCCAUCAACACAGAUGACCUGAAGUCUUUCAGAGAAGAGUCAGGCCCAAGGAGUUUAUAGGGGACAGCUGGCCAGCUCAACUCCCAGGAGGUGUGGGGUCCCUAUUAAAGAAAUGGGGUUCUUCUGUGCCC